rnacentral:rRNA from 1 species
GACGAACGCUGGCGGCGUGCCUAAUACAUGCAAGUCGAACGAAGCUGUUUUAACUGGUGCUUGCACCGACUUAAACAACUGAGUGGCGAACGGGUGAGUAACACGUGGGUAACCUGCCCCAAAGCGGGGGAUAACAUUUGGAAACAGAUGCUAAUACCGCAUAACCACAGAAACCACAUGGUUUCUGUGUCAAAGAUGGUUUCGGCUAUCACUUUGGGAUGGACCCGCGGCGUAUUAGCUAGUUGGUAAGGUAAUGGCUUACCAAGGCAAUGAUACGUAGCCGAACUGAGAGGUUGAUCGGCCACAAUGGGACUGGGACACGGCCCAUACUCCUACGGGAGGCAGCAGUAGGGAAUCUUCCACAAUGGGCGCAAGCCUGAUGGAGCAACACCGCGUGAGUGAAGAAGGGUUUCGGCUCGUAAAACUCUGUUGUUAAAGAAGAACGUAUCUAAGAGUAACUGCUUAGGUAGUGACGGUAUUUAACCAGAAAGCCACGGCUAACUACGUGCCAGCAGCCGCAGUAA